rnacentral:rRNA from 1 species
UGCCAGCCGCCGCGGUAAUACGAAGGUGGCAACCGUUGCUCGGAUUCACUGGGCAUAAAGCGCGCGUAGGUGGCUCGACAAGUCAAUGGUGAAAGACCCCGGCCCAACCGGGGAAGUGCCGUUGAAACUGUCUUGCUUGAGGACGGGAGGGGAGAGUGGAACUCUUGGUGUAGCGGUGAAAUGCGUAGAUAUCAAGAGGAACGCCGGUGGCGAAAGCGACUCUCUGGACCGUUCCUGACACUGAGGUGCGAAAGCUAGGGGAGCAAACAGGAUUAGAUA